rnacentral:tRNA from 3 species
GCGCCCGUAGCUCAGCUGGAUAGAGCACAGGUUUCCUAAACCUGGGGCCGCAAGUUCAAGUCUUGCCGGGCGCA